UCAAACCCCUAAAGGCCCUUUCAAGGGCCCCCAGAACGUCAGGAAAAGAGCCAACACUUCGUAUUUGCUGUGUGAAUGUGGGACCUAGGUGCAGAUACGUGGGUCAGAUGAGGCCCUUCCUUGUGCCAUGGAAGUCCUUGCCCUGGCGGGUGGUUCGGGCCGCGGGCGGCGGGCUUGGGGCUGAGGGGGAGGUUUGAGCCGUAGGGCUCGGAACGGGGACCCAGCGCCGCUCCCGUGGGACGUAGUCUGGAGAGUGAGGUGCCAGGUAGGGACCUCGCCCCAAUGUGCACAGGCAGACUGGGCUCCUGUCUAGAAUUUGGGUUCAAUUUGGGGUAAGGAGGUAUCCACGCAUAAAAGCGUGGUUAAAGGUAGCGAAUGAUUUCUAAGCCGUGGAGGUCUCUAGCCCUGAACCUAUAUAAAGAAGCUGCUAUGCAAAUUAGGGCUAGCUGAUGCUGCUUCCAAUUGGAUCGGAGGGUCGCGCGUCAGAGGGGGCGGCUCCCUGCCGUAGACCGGCCCCCCUUAGAACGCGGGAAUGUGAUGGCGCGAAAGUGCCAAGUGCUGUCCUAGUGUGGCGCUCUGGAGUGCUGCUGGGUGUGAAUAUUUUGUUUCUUUGCUGACGUCAGAAUUGGAGGUGACCAAAUUCAGACGCCGAAUGAAGGAGGCAAAGCGUGGGCGAAGUCGAAGGCGGGGCCUAGCUCGCGGCCGCUGCUCUACCUGGGACGAGCUGCACCGUUUGCUGCACCGAGCGGAUUCAGACCUAUCAAAAUGGAAACCAGCCACUCAGUCCAGCACAGCAAGAUCUUUGGGAUACCAAAAAAGCAGUGGAUGGGUCUCCAGAAACUGACUUUGACAAGGGCUCCUGUAUUCAAAUAUGCUGGAAGCUCACCCACCCCUGAUUUGGCAUCGUUCACUCUGUAGGAAUUAGAAUCUUUUCGAUGUGGGAGAAGGAGAGGAAGAUAUGUGAUUGUCAGCAUUCCAGGUAAGAAACAUAUCCUCACUUUGUGUGAAAUGCAAGUCUUUGGUCCAUGCACAGUUUUGUCUAUAUCAAAAAUCAUAUAUUUUCCUAAUAGGACCUUUUAUUAUUUUUAUUCAUUUAUUUCAUUGCAUCAUGAAAUACAGGAAGGAAGACAAUGUUAUUCCUAUUAAAUAAUAUGGAAAUUGAAAUGUUUAAUGAUGUUGCCACUCUGACCUCAUAAUCUUCCUAAGAGUAUUUUCUCAUUUCUUUUCACUGUCCAUUUCCUCUGCUAUCUCAUUCAUUCAAUAUUUUCUUUCUUGUUUUGUAUCUUCCACUUGUCUUUUUUUUUUUUUAAGAUUUU
rnacentral:lncRNA from 1 species